rnacentral:rRNA from 1 species
UAUUCCUACGGGGCGCAGCAGUGGGGAAUAUUGCACAAUGGGGGAAACCCUGAUGCAGCGACGCCGCGUGAGUGAAGAAGUAUUUCGGUAUGUAAAGCUCUAUCAGCAGGAACGAGACAAGACGGUACCUGACUAAGAAGCCCCGGCUAACUACGUGCCAGCAGCCGCGGUAAUACGUAGGGGGCAAGCGUUAUCCGGAUUUACUGGGUGUAAAGGGAGCGUAGGUGGCAAGGCAAGUCAGAUGUGAAAACCCGGGGCCCAACCCCGGGAGUGCAUU